rnacentral:misc_RNA from 1 species
UACAGAGACUCGAAGCGUUAAGCGGAAUUACUGGGCGUAAAGUGCGCGUAGGUGGCUUGAUAAGCCGGGUGUGAAAGCCCCGGGCUCAACCUGGGAACGGCAUCCGGAACUGUCAAGCUAGAGUACAGGAGAGGAAGGUAGAAUUCCCGGUGUAGCGGUGAAAUGCGUAGAGAUCGGGAGGAAUACCAGUGGCGAAGGCGGCCUUCUGGACUGAUACUGACACUGAGGUGCGAAAGCGUGGGUAGCAAACAGG